CCCGCCUGGGCGUGCUCCUCCCGCCGGCUCCAGGCGUCCCACCGCCCUGCCCGGCGCCAGCCCGCGGUCCCAGCCACUCCUGAGGGCGCGCCGGGCACCCAGCGCUUAGGCUCGCCCACGGAGGUCGCCACGAAAGUCUGGACCGCCGAGGCGUGUGGCUCGUCUACCGGCAGGUGUUCUUUUGAUCACAAUGGAUAGUGACUCUUCUCUUCUGCCUGAGAGUGGUUCAAAAUAAUGAAGGAUGAGGUUGGACUUCUCAGUUUGUGUCCAGAACAAGGAUGGAGAGGCUCAGCAGCACCAACAGGAACUCCUCAUGGAAUGGAAGCACAUCCAGGCUGAAGGCCCCUGUGUUCCAGGUGCUGUGUGAGUGCUGACCUGCCAGGUGACUCCACGAUGGCUUCCGUCCUCAGGGUCACCAUCAACUAAGACAGACUGAAGAUGUAAGUAGUAAUGGAAGGACACAAAAGGUACAAGAGUCAGAGGCCAGGCCAAGAGCGCAAGCUGAGCAAGGGGCAAGGAAGGCCUCCUUGAUGGCUAGCUCCAGAACUGGGACUGCAGAAAGAGGAAUUUUCUGGAUAGAAAGGGGUGUGGGCCUUCCAGUCAGGUUCAGAUCCACAGAAGCAUGCCCACAUGGUAUGCUGGGGCACCACUGCACCACCGGGGAGGGUCAUGCUGGAAAAGAGACUGCAGGAUCUGGGACUCACUCUUUCCUGAGGCAAUGGGGAGUUUAGGAGAGGGUGAGUCAGAUCAGCAUGAAGUUAGCCUACAGUCAGGAAGAUGAGUUAACAGGUCUGACAGUCUAUUGAAGUAAAAUUAUUCAUAACAGAAUAGCACCAUGUAUGUUUCUAAAAUACUUGGUGCCAUAUUUAUUCCCCUGAGGGAUUCAUCUGAGCACUUAGAAAAGAAUAACUGGGCCAUUGAGUCUUGGUUAAAAUCAUUCAUUCAUCCAACCAGUAUUCAUCAAGUAUCUCCCACAUGGCCAACGCUGGGAACCCAGUGGUGAAGUUGGAGGAGACUUCACUCAUAUGCCAUGAGAAAUGCAAGGAAGAGGACCAGAUACCUGUAGAGCAUGUUACAGAGGAGUCAGGUCUGGUCUGGGGUUGGAGGUCCAGGAAGUGACUGGAGUUGAAGCUUGAAGGAGUUGGUAUUCAACAUGCAGAACUGGGAAAAAGGCAUUCCAGGCAGAGGAAGCAGCUUGUGUGAGGGCCCUGGGGUGGGAGGGAGCAUGGUUCAUUUGAGAAGUUAAGAAAGCACAGAGAGUAAGGAGGAGAGAAUAGGGAGGGUUAGGGGAAGCAGGGGUAGGGCCUGUGCCAGGCAUGGCCCUGCUCUUUAAGGUGCCAAGUCCUUGCAAGCAUUUGAAGUUAAAACAUGAUGGCCAUUUAUUGAUGAUUUAUUGAUCUCUCCGUAUCCCCUUGGGCAUUGGUGGAUUCUCAACAGAACCACAAAGUGGAGUUGGCUGCAGGUGAGUCUGUUCAUGGCCUCAGCUUCUCACCUAUUCCUGAGUCACCUUUUGCCUCUCAGACACAGAGAUGGGAUAGCGCCAGGAUGUGGGUUUGUGUUAUCUAAUUUCUUGGAGUUUGUACAGGUUUUACCUGGUACCAGCGUGACCUUCCCAUGUACCCUCUUGGUCAGCAACUUUUUACGAGGAGUUAAUCCCACUUUCUGGAACUUGCUCAUUCUCAAAGUGAGUGGUUAUUGGUCCUGAGACAGUCCGCAGAAAUUUCAGCCCCAUGGGAAAGAAAAAAUUCCAGGUCUCUACCUGAUGCUUGGAAAGCCAGCCGUGUUAACUUAGUCAACACCAAUGCUCAUCAAAUAUGCACAUUUAUCUAGUGUUCCCAACCUAGAUUCCCAGCCUGGGAUUCUGUGGGCCAGAGGCCCCAGUGUAGUGUAGAGAUUAUAGCCUAAUGUCCCAGCAGAGAAUCUUUGAUUGCAGAUAGGAAAAAUCCAGACAUUUCUGAACUCCAAGACCACGGUGAUUUACAUGGCUUGGUGAUAAGCUAUGAUUGAUAAAUUACUCAAAGUUUCUGCUUCCCCCAACUCUGGCAAGAACUUUGGCAGAACUUCUAUGCCAUAUCCAGUACUAGGAAGUUGCCAAGUUUAUGUCCUUAAAAUAAAGUGGGUUCCAAGAUAGAUGGCAGAAAGUGGGAAAUGUGAUUUUUCUUGAUUGGGUAACUAAGAACCACACAGCAGGCGGGAGCCAUUUUGGGCCAAAGAGCUGUUCAUUUAAAGUGUUUAUUG